AUACCGCAUGACAUCCUGCCUUUGAAGAGGUGGAGCUUAAAGCUGGGGAUCGCAAGACCUAGCGCUUAAAGAGGGGCCCGCGCCUGAUUAGCUAGUUGGUGAGGUAACGGCUCACCAAGGCAACGAUCAGUAUCCGGCCUGAGAGGGCGGACGGACACACUGGGACUGAGACACGGCCCAAACUCCUACGGGAGGCAGCAGUGGGGAAUUGUUCGCAAUGGGCGCAAGCCUGACGACGCAACGCCGCGUGGAGGAUGAAGACCUUCGGGUCGUAAACUCCUUUCGAUCGAGACGAACGGCUUCCGGGUGAACAAUCCGGAAGAGUGACGGUACCGAGAGAAGAAGCCCCGGCUAACUCCGUGCCAGCAGCCGCGGUAAUACGGGGGGGGCAAGCGUUGUCGGAAUUACUGGGCGUAAAGGGCUCGUAGGCGGCCAACUAAGUCAGACGUGAAAUCCCUCGGCUUAACCGGGGAACUGCGUCUGAUACUGGAUGGCUUGAGAUUGGGAGAGGGAUGCGGAAUUCCAGGUGUAGCGGUGAAAUGCGUAGAUAUCUGGAGGAACACCGGUGGCGAAGGCGGCAUCCUGGACCAACACUGACGCUGAGGAGCGAAAGCCAGGGGAGCAAACGGGAUUAGAUACCCCGGUAGUCCUGGCCCUAAACGAUGAAUGCUUGGUGUGGCGGGUAUCGAUCCC
rnacentral:rRNA from 1 species